rnacentral:rRNA from 1 species
GUGGGGAAUCUUGCGCAAUGGGCGAAAGCCUGACGCAGCCAUGCCGCGUGGAUGAUGAAGGUCUUAGGAUUGUAAAAUCCUUUCACCGGUGAAGAUAAUGACUGUAGCCGGAGAAGAAGCCCCGGCUAACUUCGUGCCAGCAGCCGCGGUAAUACGAAGGGGGCUAGCGUUGCUCGGAUUUACUGGGCGUAAAGGGCGCGUAGGCGGACAUUUAAGUCAGGGGUGAAAUCCCGGGGCUCAACCUCGGAACUGCCUUUGAUACUGGGUGUCUUGAGUAUGAGAGAGGUGUGUGGAACUCCGAGUGUAGAGGUGAAAUUCGUAGAUAUUCGGAAGAACACCAGUAGCGAAGGCGACACACUGGCUCAUUACUGACGCUGAGGCGCGAAAGCGUGGGGAGCAAACAGGAUUAGAAACCCUGGUAGUCC